rnacentral:rRNA from 1 species
UACGUAGGGGGCAAGCGUUGUCCGGAUUUAUUGGGCGUAAAGAGCGUGUAGGCGGCCAUACAGGUCCGUUGUGAAAACUGGAGGCUUAACCUCCAGACGUCGAUGGAAACCGUAUGGCUAGAGUCCGGAAGAGGAGAGUGGAAUUCCUGGUGUAGCGGUGAAAUGCGCAGAUAUCAGGAAGAACACCGGUGGCGAAAGCGCUCUGCUGGACCUUAACUGACACUGAGGGACGAAAGCUAGGGGAGCGAAUGGG